AGUGAACGCUGGCGGUAGGCCUAACACAUGCAAGUCGAACGGCAGCACAGUAAGAGCUUGCUCUUACGGGUGGCGAGUGGCGGACGGGUGAGGAAUACAUCGGAAUCUACUUUUUCGUGGGGGAUAACGUAGGGAAACUUACGCUAAUACCGCAUACGACCUACGGGUGAAAGCAGGGGAUCUUCGGACCUUGCGCGAUUGAAUGAGCCGAUGUCGGAUUAGCUAGUUGGCGGGGUAAAGGCCCACCAAGGCGACGAUCCGUAGCUGGUCUGAGAGGAUGAUCAGCCACACUGGAACUGAGACACGGUCAAGACUCCUACGGGAGGCAGCAGUGGGGAAUAUUGGACAAUGGGCGCAAGCCUGAUCCAGACAUACCGCGUGGGUGAAGAAGGCCUUCGGGUUGUAAAGCCCUUUUGUUGGGAAAGAAAAGCAGCAGGUUAAUACCCCGCUGUUCUGACGGUACCCAAAGAAUAAGCACCGGCUAAAUUCGUG
rnacentral:rRNA from 1 species